CAGAAAUCCAGGUUUGUCCAAGUUGCAUACUGAAGACCACAUAUGGCUCAUCAUCUUUUUUUGCUGCCACUGGAAACAACUUCAGCCCCCUACCCCCUACUCCAGACUGCAAUCUGAAGGAAGUGAUUUGAGUUGGCAUGUGUCCUCCAGCCUUUGCAGUUUGGGCUUCAGCGUGUAGACAAGGAUGGUGAAGACAUUAACAACUUUAUUUAAAGGAGUUGCAUCUUAUUUUAAAGACAAAACAGGAAGUCCCUGAUUUUGCUGACAGACUUCUGGUGUUUGAAUUCUAUUUAAAGUUUUAAUAAUAGUAGUUAGGCUGGGUGUUUCUUUCUGCAGUUAAUCAAAACUACUUCCCAACGAGACUGAACUUUGCUUUUUCCACAUUUAAACUGCAGCUGUUUUUCAUAUGGUGGUGUUCCAGAAAGGAUCUGCGAUCUCCCAGCCCCAUGAGAAGUUGCCAAUGAAUUAUCCGGAGGAAAUCCACCAGGCCCUGGGACUUUCCUGAAGUUCAUUAGAACUGACCAGAGUCCUCUGCCAGUGGUUCAGGAUAAUAUAAAAGUACCUGGAACUGCAUGCUGCUGUGGAACUGGCCCAGAAGAAAGAAUUACCUAUCUCCACCCAAAUAAAUAAAAUGGGGGGUUUUCAAUUUUAACUCUCAGGAGAUGAUGUGGAGAGAUGUGUAAUGUAAGGUUCAGUUUAAUAAAAAUUAGUUGGUUCUGGAGAAUGGUGAGACCCAACCCCAUUACAGUUCUUAACUUCCA